rnacentral:tRNA from 3 species
GCCCCGGUCGUAUAGCCCGGUCAAGUAUGCGGGCCUCUCGAGCCCGUGACCCGGGUUCAAAUCCCGGCCGGGGCACCA